GGGGAUCUAGCUCAGUUUGUAGAGUGUCUGUCUGUCUUGCAUGCACAAGGCCCUGGGUUCAAUCCCCAGCCCCCCCC
rnacentral:tRNA from 1 species